rnacentral:rRNA from 1 species
GACGAACGCUGGCGGCGUGCUUAACACAUGCCAGUCGAACGGAAAGGCCCCUUUGGGGGUACUCGAGUGGCGAACGGGUGAGUAACACGUGAGUAACCUGCCCUUGACUUCGGGAUAACUUCAGGAAACUGGGGCUAAUACCGGAUAGGAAUCCUUGCUGCAUGGUGGGGGUUGGAAAGCUUCGGCGGUUUUGGAUGGACUCGCGGCUUAUCAGCUUGUUGGUGGGGUAGUGGCUUACCAAGGCUUUGACGGGUAGCCGGCCUGAGAGGGCGACCGGCCACAUUGGGACUGAGAUACGGCCCAGACUCCUACGGGGGGCAGCAGUGGGGAAUAUUGCACAAUGGGCGGAAGCCUGAUGCAGCAACGCCGCGUGCGGGAUGACGGCCUUCGGGUUGUAAACCGCUUUCAGCAGGGGCGAAGCUUGUGGUGACGGUACCUGCAGAAGAAGCACCGGCUAACUACGUG